GACAGAGGCCCCAAGCGUUAGGCGGAAUCACUGGGCUUAAAGCGUGUGUAGGCGGAUCGUUAAGUGUCUUGUGAAAUCCCACGGCUCACCCGUGGAACUGCUGGGCAUACUGGCGAUCCUGGGCCAACUAGGGGCAGUCGGAACAAGCGGUGGAGCGGUGAAAUGCGUAGAUAUCGCUUGGAACGCCGAAGGUGAAAACAGACUGCUGGGGUUGCGCCGACGCUGAGACACGAAAGCCAGGGGAGCAAACGGG
rnacentral:rRNA from 1 species